GGGGAUAUGGCGGAAUUGGUAGACGCUGCGGACUUAAAAUCCGUUGAUUCUAAAAAAUCGUGAGGGUUCAAGUCCCUCUAUCCCCA
rnacentral:tRNA from 1 species